CCUAACACAUGCAAGUCGAACGGUAACAGGAAACAGCUUGCUGUUUCGCUGACGAGUGGGGGACGGGUGAGUAAUGUCUGGGAAACUGCCUGAUGGAGGGGGAUAACUACUGGAAACGGUAGCUAAUACCGCAUAACGUCGCAAGACCAAAGAGGGGGACCCUCGGGCCUCUUGCCAUCGGAUGUGCCCAGAUGGGAUUAGCUUGUUGGUGGGGUAACGGCUCACCAAGGCGACGAUCCCUAGCUGGUCUGAGAGGAUGACCAGCCACACUGGAACUGAGACACGGUCCAGACUCCUACGGGAGGCAGCAGUGGGGAAUAUUGCACAAUGGGCGCAAGCCUGAUGCAGCCAUGCCGCGUGUAUGAAGAAGGCCUUCGGGUUGUAAAG
rnacentral:rRNA from 1 species